rnacentral:rRNA from 1 species
AACGCGAAGAACCUUACCUGGGCUUAAAUGUGACCGGACAGACUGUGAAAGCAGUCCUUCUUCGGACUGGUCUCAAGGUGCUGCAUGGUUGUCGUCAGCUCGUGCUGUGAGGUGUCGGGUUAAGUCCCAUAACGAGCGCAACCCUUAUCUUUAGUUGCCAGCGAGUAAUGUCGGGGACUUUAAAGAGACUGCCCGUGUAAACGGGAGGAAGGUGGGGAUGACGUCAAAUCAUCACGGCCCUUACGUCCAGGGCUACACACGUGCUACAAUGGUGAGUACAGAUGGUUGCUGCUUGGUGACAAGUUUGCUAAUCUAUAAAACUCAUCUCAGUUCGGAUUGGAGUCUGAAACUCGACUCCAUGAAGUUGGAAUCGCUAGUAAUCGCAUAUCAGCCAUGAUGCGGUGAAUACGUUCCCGGGUC